AUUCAGUCAAGUAGCUAAUUUCUAAGUCCCCGGCAGCGGCGCUAAAAACUUGUUGCGACCAACAGAUACUCACGCAAGUGCACAUGAUCGUCAAGUAAUAAAGUAGUGGUAGCGUAUCGUUCCCAUGAAGACUUGUGAUUAACUAUUGAUUAAUUCAAGCCGAAUUAACUUAUCGAUCCAAGAUAUUUUCCACAAAAUAUAGUCAUCAUUAAUUUACUACAUAAAAUUAUCAAUGAAUGAAAUAACUAGAAUAAUCAACCAAACAAAU
rnacentral:lncRNA from 1 species